AGCGGCAAAAGCUCAAAUUUGAAAUCUGGCACCUUCGGUGUCCGAGUUGUAAUUUGAAGAUUGUAACCUUGGGGUUGGCUCUUGUCUAUGUUUCUUGGAACAGGACGUCACAGAGGGUGAGAAUCCCGUGCGAUGAGAUGCCCAAUCCUAUGUAAGGUGCUUUCGAAGAGUCGAGUUGUUUGGGAAUGCAGCUCUAAGUGGGUGGUAAAUUCCAUCUAAAGCUAAAUAUUGGCGAGAGACCGAUAGCGAACAAGUACAGUGAUGGAAAGAUGAAAAGAACUUUGAAAAGAGAGUGAAAAAGUACGUGAAAUUGUUGAAAGGGAAGGGUUUGAGAUCAGACUCGAUAUUUUGUGAGCCUUGCCUUCGUGGCGGGGUGACCCGCAGCUUAUCGGGCCAGCAUCGGUUUGGGCGGUAGGAUAAUGGCGUAGGAAUGUGACUUUGCUUCGGUGAAGUGUUAUAGCCUGCGUUGAUGCUGCCUGCCUAGACCGAGGACUGCGAUUUUAUCAAGGAUGCUGGCAUAAUGAUCCCAAACCG
rnacentral:rRNA from 1 species